rnacentral:rRNA from 1 species
GGGGAAUAUUGCGCAAUGGGCGAAAGCCUGACGCAGCGACGCCGCGUGGGGGAUGAAGGCCUUCGGGUUGUAAACCUCUUUCGGCAGGGACGAAGUUGACGUGUACCUGCGGAAGAAGCGCCGGCUAACUACGUGCCAGCAGCCGCGGUAAUACGUAGGGCGCGAGCGUUGUCCGGAAUUAUUGGGCGUAAAGAGCUCGUAGGCGGCUGGUCGCGUCUGCCGUGAAAGCCCGCGGCUUAACCGUGGGUCUGCGGUGGAUACGGGCCGGCUAGAGGCAGGCAGGGGCAAGUGGAAUUCCUGGUGUAGCGGUGAAAUGCGCAGAUAUCAGGAGGAACACCGGUGGCGAAGGCGGCUUGCUGGGCCUGUCCUGACGCUGAGGAGCGAAAGCGUGGGGAGCGAAC